AUUGAACGCUGGCGGCAGGCCUAACACAUGCAAGUCGAACGAGUGGCGGACGGGUGAGUAAUGUCUGGGAAACUGCCUGAUGGAGGGGGAUAACUACUGGAAACGGUAGCUCAUCCCGCAUACCCUCCGAUGUGCCCAGAUGGGAUUAGCUAGUUGGUGGGGUAACGGCUCACCAAGGCGACGAUCCCUAGCUGGGCUGAGAGGAUGACCAUCAAAGCGCGAACUGAGAAACGGUCCAGAGUCCUACGGGAGGCAGCAGUGGGGAAUAUAGCACAAUGGGCGCAAGCCGGAUGCAGCCAUGACGCGUGUAUGAAGAAGGCCUUCGGGUUGUAAAGUACUUUCAGCGGGGAGGCGUUACCCGCAGAAGAAGCACCGGCUAACUCCGUGCCAGCAGCCGCGGGAAUAC
rnacentral:rRNA from 1 species